UAGGAGCACAAGGAAUGCCUCAUUAGCUG
rnacentral:piRNA from 2 species